AGAAUCAACGCUGGCGGCGCGCUUAACACAUGCAAGUCGCACGAGAAAGUGGAGCAAUCCAUGAGUAAAGUGGCGUACGGGUGAGUAACACGUGGAUCAUCUACCUCUUAGGGGGGAAUAACCCUGGGAAACCGGGGCUAAUACCGCAUAAGCCUGAGAAGGGAAARGCAGCAAUKGCGCUGAGAGAGGAGUCCGCGGCCGAUUAGCUAGUUGGUAGGGUAAAGGCCUACCAAGGCAAUGAUCGGUAGCCGGCCUGAGAGGGCACACGGCCACACUGGCACUGAAACACGGGCCAGACUCCUACGGGAGGCAGCAGUGGGGAAUCUUGCACAAUGGAGGAAACUCUGAUGCAGCGACGCCGCGUGAGCGAUGAAGCCCUUCGGGGUGUAAAGCUCUUUCGACGGGAACGAUAAUGACGGUACCCGGAGAAGAAGCUGCGGCUAACUACGUGCCAGCAGCCGCGGUAAUACGUAGGCAGCAAGCGUUGUUCGGAAUUACUGGGCGUAAAGAGUGUGUAGGCGGUUCUCUAUGUUCGGUGUGAAAUCUCCCGGCUUAACUGGGAGGGUGCGCCGAAGACUGGAGGGCUUGAGUAUGGGAGAGGAAAGCGGAAUUCCUGGUGUAGCGGUGAAAUGCGUAGAUAUCAGGAGGAACACCUGCGGUGUAGACGGCUUUCUGGACCAUCACUGACGCUGAGACACGAAAGCGUGGGGAGCAAACAGGAUUAGAUACCCUGGUAGUCCACGCCCUAAACGAUGCAUACUUGGUGUGAGCCGUUCAUUCGGUUCGUGCCGGAGCUAACGCGUUAAGUAUGCCGCCUGGGGAGUACGGUCGCAAGGCUG
rnacentral:rRNA from 1 species